GACGAACGCUGGCGGCGCGCCUAACACAUGCAAGUCGAACGAGGUUGAGAGGAGCUUGCUUUUCUUGACUUAGUGGCGAACGGGUGAGUAACGCGUGAGGAACCUGCCUCAAAGAGGGGGACAACAGUUGGAAACGACUGCUAAUACCGCAUAAGCUAGAGACACCGCAUGGAGUAGCUAGAAAAGGAGAAAUCCGCUAAUAGAUGGGCUUGCGUCCGAUUAGCCAGUUGGUGGGGUAACGGCCUACCAAAGCGACGAUCGGUAGCCGAGCUGAGAGGCUCAACGGCCACAUUGGGACUGAGAUACGGCCCAG
rnacentral:rRNA from 1 species